ACGCACGCUGGCGGCGUGCUUAACACAUGCAAGUCGAACGGAAAGGCCCUGCUUUUGUGGGGUGCUCGCGUGGCGAACGGGUGAGUAACACGUGAGUAACCUGCCCUUGACUUUGGGAUAACUUCAGGAAACUGGGGCUAAUACCGGAUAGGAGCUCCUGCUGCAUGGUGGGGGUUGGAAAGUUUCGGCGGUUGGGGAUGGACUCGCGGCUUAUCAGCUUGUUGGUGGGGUAGUGGCUUACCAAGGCUUUGACGGGUAGCCGGCCUGAGAGGGUGACCGGCCACAUUGGGACUGAGAUACGGCACAGACUCCUACGGGAGGCAGCAGUGGGGAAUAUUGCACAAUGGGCGGAAGCCUGAUGCAGCAACGCCGCGUGCGGGAUGACGGCCUUCGGGUUGUAAACCGCUUUCGCCUGUGACGAAGCGUGAGUGACGGUAAUGGGUAAAGAAGCACCGGCUAACUACGUG
rnacentral:rRNA from 1 species